rnacentral:rRNA from 1 species
GAUGAACGCUGGCGGCGUGCCUAAUACAUGCAAGUCGAGCGAACAGACGAGGACCUUGCUCCUCUGACGUUAGCGGCGGACGUGUCAGUAGCACAAGGAGAACCCACCUAUAAGACUGGGAUAACUUAGGGAAACCGGAGCUAAUACCGGAUAAUAUCUUCAACCGCAUGGUUGAAUAGUGCAAGACGGUUUGGCUGUACCUUCUACCUAGAUCCGCGCCGCAUUGGCUGUUUGGUAAGGUAACGGCUUACCAAGGCAGCGCUGGGUAGCCGACCUGAGAGCGGGUAGCGCCACAGUGGAAGUGAGACGCGACACAGACACCUACGUGAGGCCGCAGUAGGUAAUCGUCCGCAAAGGGCGGAAUCCUGACGGAGCGGCGCCGGGUGAGUGCUGAAGGUCUGCGGAUCGUAAAACUCUGUUAUGAGGGAAGACCAAAUGUGUAAGUAACUAUGCACGUCGUGACGGUACCUAAUCAGAAAGCCCCGGCUAACUACGUG